UAUUAGAGAUUAGGGUUAGUUUUUUGCAGCCAUUCGAGCUUUAAAGGCUAAGAUCAGCAAGUUUAGGAUUUUGGCUAUGGUUUUGGUACAAAUCUUGUAUGAUUUGUAAUUUAUAUAAAGGAGAUAUAGGCGCUCAAAGUUAAUGUAUUGAUUUGGGAGCUACUGUCACUCUUUUUGACAUAACGCAUGCCUACAAAAGGCAAUUGGAAUUGGCGACUACAUCUUAAGAGAGCACUUUUGUGCCUACACUUUAUGCAUAUUUCUUGCUGGAUUCUAAGUUGAAAUGAAGGAGUUAUUGGAUUUUGAAGUCACGCAUGCAAUCUAAGGGUAGUAAGUGACCCGAUUUACUAGUGGUUGUGUCUUGAGCUAUAUCUUGAGCAAUUUCACAAGGUUUUGGUUCAAAAUUUUAAGAAAUGUGAAAUUUCAUGUAAGUAAACUUUUUACAUAAGUUUGAUGACAUUUGAGUAUUGGGUUCUUGAGAAAUUAAGAAAAUAGUACUCAAGUGCUUGUAAAUUAGGGUUUAGAGGAUCUACUAGGUUUUUUUAGAUGUUAGAAGAUCGGAAGUGAAUUUACAAUUGAUUUUUGUGUGGUAAAAGUUAAGGGUGAUUUCUACCUAUCUUAUAAAUUUGAGACAAGUUAAACAGCUAGAUCAAGAGUUAUGAAUUUCUAAAGUUCUUGAAGAGAAAACCCUUCAUGAGAAAAAUAUGUUUUGAAGAGAUUUUGUUAUAUUUUGAGUUUUAUGCAAAUCAAAAGAAUUUUGGAAGUUAAGACAAGAUUCAUAUAAAGGUUUAAGUUAAAAUCUCUAUAGCUAGAUAUCCAAUGUAUUCUUAGAUAGCAAAUCAUACCAUACGACAAACUUAGUGAACCCAAUGUGAAAAUUUCUAGUAUAGAGAAUUUUGAAGAAAUAUUUUGGCUUUCUAUUAUGGAAGGGGGAUAAGAAAGUGGUAGUAAGAAUUGCACUGGAAAAUCUCCAUUGCAACUUGAUCCUGCUACAACUCAAAUGUUUCAAGCAUUUAUACUUUUUAUGCAAUAAUAACAAGCAAAGGAAUGCAAGGAAGCAAUGGCUAGUAAACCAUUGCAUUCUGUUGUUGGUUUAUUGGAUCAAUUUGAUGGAAGAAAUAUUUCCAAGUAUCUUAAGUAUUAUUCUCAUGAGAUAGAGCUCAAUAAAGUACCAGAGAAAGAUAUGAUCCUAACAUUUGAGCUUGCAGUUGUACCAGAGCUUCGUGAGCAUUUAAUGGAAAUUAUUCAAACUCAUGGAGAAAAAUGGGAGGAUUUUAUCCUUCAACUAAAAGAAGAGUAUUCGUUGGAAGAUACAAAAAGAGUGACAAGAAAAUCGUUUAUGGAAUGGGUCAAUAAAUCCAAUAAGAAAUUAAUUGCAAUAGAGUUAUUUUGAGAAUUUGAAAGAUAAUUUCUUCAAUUAUUUUGAGUGAAAAAGCUUACACUUGAAAAUGACAAAGUGGAGUUAUUUCUUCAAUCAAUUGGCAAUGAUUUACAAAAGAAAUUAGAAUUACCAUUGGAGCAUAAUACAGAGGACAAUGGACUUACUACUAAUUGAAAGAAAGUCUUUGAAGCUGUGGACAUACUGGCUAAAAGAGAGUACCAGAGGGAUAAGGUGAUAGUAAGGCAAGAGAUUAGACCUCCACCAACUACAAUACCUCGUAGGCAACUGCCAAAACCUGUUAUACUAGUAAGUACUAUUCCAAUUCCUAUGUCUACAAUUGCACCACAGAAAGAUAUGAUUGAUGAGUUGUUAAAAGAAAUGAAAGACUUACAAAUCAAACUGACAAAGCUAGAGGAGAAAGAAGGAUUACCUGAGAGCAAAUCUGUAUCAAAGCCAGGAUAUAUGCAAAGAUGUAUUUGGUGUGAUAGUAUAGAGCAUCUUCAAAGAGAGAAUGGAGAUUUUGCUAAUAUUUUGCGAUAGGGAGUAAUUUUAUGGAAAGAUGGAAAAAUUGUGUUGCGAGAUACAAGUGAGUUUCUCAAAACCAAUUUUGGAAAAGGAAGGAUGAAGAAAGUUUUAAAAGAGCAUUUAUCUUAAUAGGCUAUAGCAUCAAGAGAGGCUAUUACUUAUGGCAUUGAGGCUAUAAGGGAGAAAGAGGAUGUUUUUGAUAAGCAUGUAAAUAUAGGAGAUCUAUCGAAUGAUGUUAUUAUCAACAUGAAUAAAAGAAAAAUAACAAGGCAAGAAUUACUUAAUACAGCCACAAUAAUUAGAAAUGCCACAAAAUUGAAUGAUCCUAUAGAUACUAUGUUUGUACAUACUUAUUUGGAAAAAUCCCAAUAUGAAGCUCUAAUGGAGGUAAAAAGGAGAAGAAAUGAAAUAGAAGAAAAUUUUGAAGAGUCAAUCAACAAGAAUCUGAAAGGCAUGUAGAAACAAUACAUAAUAAAAAAAAAUACCUAUACCACAAGCUAAUAGACAUCGAGGAUUGGGCCAUCGAAAUUGUACCCUGGAAAUAUACCAUUGCCAAAAGAGAAAUGGAAAGAAAGGAUGGAAGUUGAUAAAGACAAAGGGAAGAGUAAGCAUGUUACUUAUAAGCUACAAUCAGAUAUUGAGGCAGCCACAGAUUUGAAAAGAGUGUUGGAAGAAAGAUUAUUGAAUGCCAAAAUUGAAUUUAUUCUAUGAGAAAUUUUAGGCAUUGCAAAGAGAGAGUUUCAUGAAGUCAUCAUCGAUACCAUUAAGCGAAAGAGGUAGUUGAUAGGAGAAUCUGUUGUAUCUAAUACUUUGGAUACAAUCUUGAUAGAAGAAGAGGAACAUGAAUUGGCAGAAUGUUGUAUCAAUAAAAAGGGACAAUUUCAUUUGGAUGAAUACAAGGAUGAUGACAAGGGCCCCGGAUACUAUACCAAAGGACAUUGGACAAAAGCCACCAUAAAAACUUUAUAAAAAUGGAAGACUUAGUAGAACUAGUAAUUGCUCUUAUUGACCAUAGAUCUGAAAUUAAUAUUAUAUCAAAAGAAGUCUACAAAUGUAAAAGGUGGUCCAUUGAUAUUAACCAUGGUUGGGUGAUUCGGACAGCAAAUAAUAUACGAGGAGAUUUUUAUAGUGCUUCCUCCAAUGUGAAGGUAAAAGUUAGAGAUGUAACCACAGAACAAAAUAUUUUUGUUCAAGACACUACAUACCCAGUGAUUCUUGGUCAACCAUAUAUUACAACUGUGAGGAUGGAUACCAAGAUUUUGAAUGACGGAUCAGCAUGUGCAUGUAUUAGAAGUAAAGAUGGAAAAAAGACAAUGUAAUUUUUAAUAAUACUUGCAAACUAUAAGUGCAAUCAGGAUUAUUUACAAAGUGAUUUAUUACUAAGGGUUAGUAAAGAGUUUAUGGAUUUUUGUAGGAUACCACUAUAGAGCAAGAAUAUAGUGGUACAUCAAAGAAGAUACUCUCGCACAAAAAAAAAUAUAUCUUUUGUACACAUGUUAUAGAAUUAUCUAAGAAUAGAUGUGCUAUCUAUAUACAACUUAAUGAUCUACCAAAGUGGAAGAAAAAAGUUGUGCAAAGAACAGAAAAAGACCUAAAAAGAGUAGGUGUACUUGAUAGAGAUGAUAAGAUAGUAGGUGUAUAUAUGGAAAUUGCUUUAGAAGAUUUUAUAGAAAAAAUUUUAGAAUUUGAACAAAGAAAUGAAGAUCAAGUGGUGCAAGUACAUUCAAGAGAGCUCUAUUCAGCUAUAUAAGCAUUUGAAGAUUAUGAAGUCAAAGUUGAAACUAGGUACAAGACUAUGGAGAGGAAAAUAAAACCUGUAGCUAUACUAUUAUCUAGUGAUUCCAAUCAUCAAGUUCAAUAAGCUUUGAAGGAGAAGGGCUUAUGGGAUCCUAAACAAAUUGGCCAUAAAUUUACCAAAAACAUACUCAAUGAGUUGAAAGUAGGAUCUACAAAUUUUUUAUUAUAUAUUGAAGAAAUGGAAUUUAAAAAUAUAUUAAGUACACAUGGAAAGGCUUUUACUUUUGAACCUUUAAAAAUUAGAUGUGUAUCUAAGUAUUGUAGCACAAAUGAUUAUAUUUAUAGUUUCGCAUGUUUCUUGAGAUUUAAGACCAAUUUUGGUGCCUAAAGCCCAUCUACCUAAACUUAUGGAGCUUUUAAAAGAAAAGACACAAAUAAAGAUCUUAGAGCCAUCAUUUACAUCAUAUUCUACUUGUUGGUUACAGUACUAUUGUUCUCAUUAUGUUCAAGCUUCAAUAUACCAAAGUACUUCAACUAAUACAUGUAGGUUCAAACAUGGGAAAAGAUUGGUUAUAUGAAUUGGGUUUGUUAGUCUCACAAUUGACUGUAUUCUAGCUAUCUAAAAUCAAUUAUCAAACUAUAAAAUACCAAGGCUUACUACUUCCAUCUUAAUUCAAAACAUAAUCCAUUCUACGAUUAUCAAUUCAACAAUACUUCCAUAUUCUUAUCAGUUCAUCUUCCACUUACUCUCUUUACAAUUUAUAUAUAUUCAAUUACUGAUCUCCAACUUAUUCUAUUUAAUUUUUUAAUUCAUUACACAGAAUUCAAUAUCUUCACUUAAUACAAUAUAAUUCGAUACUCUCAAUUCUCAAGAUUACAGAUUUUCUCCAAAAUGGUCAGCCCAAAGUCAUAUUCUACAAUAUUCUAAUCACAAUUUCAACAGUACUUCUCUCAAUCACAAUUCUUCAAAAACAAAUAAUAAAAGCAAAGAAAACAAAGAGGUAGCACCAAACUUACUCCGGCUUACGACUCUCACAGUCUAGCUCCGAUCUCCCUUUUCUCAACCUCUUUAUCCCACCAAAAGAUGGACCGUCGGCCAGCAGAUUCCAAAGGUUAUGAACCUUUGAAUUCUUAAUGAUUUAUUCCACUAACAACCUACUGUUACCAACAAAAUUAUCUAACCAUAAGUCUAAUUGUUAAGGUUAUCAAUAACCAACCUGUAAUUUAUCACAAAAUUUAUUUACAUAUUCUACAUAGCUCCACUCCUAAUUGUACAGCGCCCUCACAAACACAUAAUUGUUGCUUUUCUGAAAACUACUUAAUUGAAUUCUAAAAAAUUACUAUUUCUUUUGGUCCAACUACGUAUUCAAAAAGUCUCUUAUUCUUCUCGACUUCCAACAGAUAUCUAACUUCAUUGGCUCCAUAUGGGUAAUGAUUAUCAUAGAAGGUAGUUUCGAUGCGCUAUCGUAUUGUGGUUUGGCUACUAUAUGAAAAUAAUGUAAUUAUGUACUUAAUAUAUAAUUUAUUAAGUAACACUAUGAGGCCAUAUUAGUAGAUUUUAGUUGGUUGUAGAAUAUAAUUUGAUUAUUACUUUGAGAAGAGGUUGUUUAAAAAGAUUACUAUAGAAUUUGUAUAACUUUAAUUUCCUUUUGAUAGUGGCUUUUAAGAUUGGUUUUGGUUGAUAGUAACUUCUAAAUAUUUAGAGUCACCUUUGUUAGACAUUGGUGACAUUUGAAAACUUAUUUUGAUUCUUUUAUUUGGUGUUUAGAGCAUAAAUUAUGUAGAUCUUAUAAGAAAAAGGAUUGAAGAAGGAUUUUGGUAGCAAAGGAAGUAAUUAGGGCACCAAUAUAGAUGAAUGGAGAUGAAUAAUGAAAAUCUCCAUUCCUAUUGGUCAAAAAUCAUGACCAUUCUUGAGGAGGCUACCCGAGGCCAUUUUAGGGAUUAGGGUUAGUUUCUCGAUGCCAUUCGAGUUUUGAAGGCUAGGAUCAGAAGGUUUAGGAUUUUGGCUAUGGUUUUGGUGCACGUUUUGUGUCAUUUGGGGUUUUUAUGAAGAAGUUAUAGGUGCUCAAAGUUAAGGUGUUGAUUUGGGAGCUACUGUCACUCUUUUGGGCAUAACGUACGCGUACGGAUAGCAAUUGAGGAUCGGUUACCGCGACUACAGAGAGAACUUUUGCGGCU
rnacentral:lncRNA from 1 species